CAGCACAGGAUCGUCUGCACAUCGCUGUAUAUGUUUAAGACGCAAGAGGACCUACUGCAUCAUGUUGAGAAAGAAGAAUGGAGCCGGGACGUCCCAAUUUAAACCAGACGAUCCCCUGAUAAAAAUGGGGGUCCAGGAUGAUGAUGAUGUGGAAACAAUGCUGCAGGGGUCCUCUAUGACGAAGGUACGUUCUCCACGCUGGAAGAGGAAGCGCAUGCUAAAGCUGAUGAAUGACGGAGUCACUGUCUGGUGUGAAUCCAACAAGGCCACCAACAAAGCCAAAAGUCAGCAGUCC